CAACAAGCACGAAGAGAACAAGAAAAACAAGAAAAAGAGUGGCGGCAAAGGCACAAACAAGAACUGCCAAACAGCCAGUUUCCACAAAUAACAUCGGUCACUGAUUCCGGGACUCAGAAAUGUAUCCUUGGACCUGAUCAAAUUACCAAAGAAGCAUGCAGUCAUGUGCAGUCUAAUCGAUCCACACCUGAAGUGAGAGGCAAAAAAAAGCAACUUCAAAAGUACAAUCUCUGGCACAACAAGCACGUCAAGCAAGAGAGAAACAAGAAAAGGAACGCCGGGAAAUGGAAAUUCAAGAAUUGCAGAAUAGGCAACCUCAAGAAAGAGUAUUAAAUUGUAAUCAAUUCGCCAUUCAGAGAUCUAAGGAAAGGAUGCGAAGGUCCCAACGAGAACGUCGCGCCCGAUCGGAAAAUAAAGCAUCAAUGGCACACUGCUUGGCGCAACAAGCACGUCAACAAAGAGAGAGGGAAGAAAAAGUUAUUCGACCAUCAAAAGAACCGUCAACAGUACCGUUCUAAUUAACAGUAGUAUCUAAUCUUCUGUUUUCUAAAGAUAUAUACUAAAUACGAUACCGAUCAUUAUUUAAAAUUGACAGGCAAAAUGCUUGGCACAACAAGCAGCACAAAAAGCACGUAGACAAAGAGAAAAACAAGAAAAAAACUGUCUGCAAGAAUCCAUAAUGAAGAAGAUGGACAAAUAGAAUCCGAACAAGUAUAUCGACCACAAAAUGAUAAUGUGGUCCAGUGGACGUACAUGCAAUGCAAAUCCAGGGAAGAAAACAAAAAAGAAAAGAGAAUGAGCAAAUGAAAUCUUUGCAGGUAUGAAAAUCAAAACUACCAAUUAUUUGUAUUCGCAGGAUAAUCCUAAUCGCAGGAAAAAAAAUGAAAACUGUAGAACCUACUACUAUGCUAGACAGAGAGACAAAGAAUCCUGAGACUGAAGCUUCGCGAUCAGAUAAAUACACUGGAGGAGCCAACAAAUCGUAUGUGGUGAUCCGGUAUGAAAAUUUUAAAGUAGUCCGUAAACCAGUAGAAAACUAGGAAAAAAUAGACGUCAUUCUGCUCCUUAAUUAUGUUAUGGGGUUUGGGUUAUUGAUGUACGACAUCCGAAUUAAGAUGCCAUAUAUCCAAGCACGUUUUGAAUAAAGCCUAAUGGUCUAUUUUAUUUGAUGUCUAUUCUAACAUUGCUAGAUUUUACAUUUUAGUGGAUUAUUUACGGCUGGUGCAAAUGUCCUAAGCUCUUUACUGUAAUAGACUCUUUACUGUUAUAAAUUCAUGAGUAUUAUCCUAAACUCUUUACUGUAAUAGACUACUGUUAUAAAUUCAUGAGUACUAUGUUGAAUCUUUCUUUUAUUGCAGAAGAAUACACUCCAAGCGGAAAGCAAUAUGCAAACAAGCCUAAUCAAUGUAUUCGACUAUAUAGAUUAUAGAGAUUGCUACCACCUAUAAAGACGUUGAAACAGGUAAAAGGAAACAUUUAAUAUAGGGAUGAUCAUAGUACCAUGUCAUCAUGAGUGUUUAAGACUUGGCAGUGUAUGCCUAAACAGCUACUAUAUAGAGAUUUGAACUAUUAUGUCCAUUGACUAAUAUACGGAGAUCUGAACUAUUCUGAAAUUAAAUGAUUGACUCAACCCUUUGGUGAUUCAGUGUUAAACAUGAAUUAACAAAUUGUGUAAACAUAAAACAUUCAGCAUUGAAGGCAUUGAAGGAAAGAGUAACUAUUUAAGAUUACUAACCUUGGAG